AUACGGAGGGUCCAAGCGCUAUCCGGAUUUAUUGGGUUUAAAGGGUCCGUAGGCGGGAUAUUAAGUCAGUGGUGAAAUCCUACAGCUCAACUGUAGAACUGCCAUUGAUACUGAUAUUCUUGAGUACACCUGAAGUGGGCGGAAUAUGUCAUGUAGCGGUGAAAUGCAUAGAUAUGACAUAGAACACCGAUCGCGAAAGCAGCUCACUAAAGUGUAACUGACGCUGUGGGACGAAAGCGUGGGGAGCGAACAGGAUUAGAAACCCUAGUAGUCC
rnacentral:rRNA from 1 species